rnacentral:hammerhead_ribozyme from 1 species
AUCCAGCUGGCGUGUCCCAAAUAGGACGAAAUGCGCAUCCUGGAU